CCUGCCUGUUGAGAUGGUGGAUUUACUGACUGACUUUAACACCGAACCAGCUUUCACUCCGGGCAUGAACCCUAUUUGGCCGAUUGGAUGAUAAAUUGCCUGUAUCACUUAAGAAGCCCACAGGAUGCCCAGGUUAAACACUGCUUCUUGCUCUGUCUGUGAAGAUGUUCCCUGGGAACGCGCCCACUAAGAAGACAGAGUUCAUGUACACCAAAUCCUCUAGCAGAUUCAUGCAGGAGAGAGAGGACAUUCUUCUGACCUAUAAAAGAUGAAAAGACCGGAAGGACAGCUCAUGUUUUCCUUCGAUUUCCCCCAAAGACCUUUCUUGGUAGUUUCAACAGAUGAUGUCAGGGCAGCGUUAUGGCGAGCAUUGAGCUUUGGGAGCGACCGAGAGCCCUGCCCCAGCCUGUCUCUGCUGCCUCAGCUCUUGAGCGAUUCAACACCAGCCUCCCCGAGGAGUGAAGGGGCUCAGAGAAGCUGUGACAAAAUAUGGACACAGUCUCUGCUCAAAUGACAUCACUAGAGACAUGGCCAUCCCCGGACGCCUCCUCAGCAGACCUCUCACUCUUCCCUGCCCAGGACACCAACAGCGAUAAACUGACCAAAACUCACUCUGCUUGUCCUCUGGUGCUCCCCCGCCCCAACAACCUUAGUGACAGUGAUGUCCUCUCCAGGAGGAAAUCGAAAACAAACAUUUCGUUGGUUUAAAUUCUAAGCAUGCAAUUACUUUAGUUAAAAAAGAAAUCCUGUUUGUACAUUUGAUUUAGCAUAAUUUUUUCUUACUUUCUCCUUUAGAAAUAGGGUAAUUUGUGCUGGGUGGUGGUG